UAGGGAAUCUUCCACAAUGGACGCAAGUCUGAUGGAGCAACGCCGCGUGAGUGAAGAAGGUUUUCGGAUCGUAAAGCUCUGUUGUUGGUGAAGAAGGAUAGAGGUAGUAACUGGCCUUUAUUUGACGGUAAUCAACCAGAAAGUCACGGCUAACUACGUGCCAGCAGCCGCGGUAAUACGUAUGUGGCAAGCGUUGUCCGGAUUUAUUGGGCGUAAAGCUAGCGCAGGCGGAAGAAUAAGUCUGAUGUGAAAGCCCUCGGCUUAACCGAGGAACUGCAUCGGAAACUGUUUUUCUUGAGUGCAGAAGAGGAGAGUGGAAUUCCAUGUGUAGCGGUGGAAUGCGUAGAUAUAUGGAAGAACACCAGUGGCGAAGGCGACUCUCUGGUCUGCAACUGACGCUGAGGCUCGAAAGCAUGGGUAGAGAACAGG
rnacentral:rRNA from 1 species